rnacentral:rRNA from 1 species
GGUUCGGAAUACGUCUGGAACGGACGCUAAUACCGGAUGAUGACGUAAGUCCAAAGAUUUAUCGCCCAGGGAUGAGCCCGCGUAGGAUUAGCUAGUUGGUGAGGUAAAGGCUCACCAAGGCGACGAUCCUUAGCUGGUCUGAGAGGAUGAUCAGCCACACUGGGACUGAGACACGGCCCAGACUCCUACGGGAGGCAGCAGUAGGGAAUAUUGGACAAUGGGCGAAAGCCUGAUCCAGCAAUGCCGCGUGAGUGAUGAAGGCCUUUAGGGUUGUAAAGCUCUUUUACCCGGGGAUGAUAAUGACAGUACCCGGGAGAAUAAGCCCCCGGCUAACUCCGUGCCCACCAGCCCGCGGUAAAUACGGA